UACGGAGGGUGCAAGCGUUAUCCGGAUUCACUGGGUUUAAAGGGUGCGUAGGUGGGCAGUUAAGUCAGUGGUGAAAUCUCCGGGCUUAACCCGGAAACUGCCAUUGAUACUAUCUGUCUUGAAUACCGUGGAGGUGAGCGGAAUAUGUCAUGUAGCGGUGAAAUGCUUAGAUAUGACAUAGAACACCGAUAGCGAAGGCAGCUUGCUACACGAGUAUUGACACUGAUGCACGAAAGCGUGGGGAUCAAACAGG
rnacentral:rRNA from 1 species